GACGAACGCUGGCGGCGUGCUUAACACAUGCAAGUCGAACGGAAAGGCCCUGCUCUUGUGGGGUGCUCGAGUGGCGAACGGGUGAGUAACACGUGAGUAACCUGCCCUUGACUUUGGGAUAACUUCAGGAAACUGGGGCUAAUAUCGGAUAGGAGCUCCUGCUGCAUGGUGGGGGUUGGAAAGUUUCGGCGGUUGGGGAUGGUCUGGCGGCUUAUCAGCUUGUUGGGGGGGUAGUGGCUUACCAAGGGUUAGACGGGUAGCCGGCCUGAGAGCGUGACCGGGCACAUUAGUCCUGCGAUACGGACCAGUCUCCAACGGUCCGCAGCAGUGGAAAGUAUUGCGGAAUGGCCGCGAGCGUGAUACGGAGGCGUCGCGAGCGGGAUGCCCUCUUUCGAGUUAUGAACCACUUUCUCAUGUAAUGAAGCGGGAGUGACGGUACUUAGUAAAAAAGCCCCGGCUAACUACGUG
rnacentral:rRNA from 1 species